UAAUUUUUUUUUAAGUGGUUAGGUUGGAAAUUAAUUUUAUUCAAGAAGUUAGACUUGCUUUUUGAAGUUGCUAUCUUGGAACUACUUCUAAAGUUAGAAUUGGCUUAACUUUAGUGUAAUAUUUUGUAGUGUUGGCCAGAUAAAAAUCUUGUAUUGAGUCUAUUACGAAGGAAUUAGUGGACAUGGCUAUUUUAUUUUAUUUUUUUUAAAAUGACAUCUCCGUAAGACUUCCUCUGCAUUCUGCCCUUUCUCAAAGUGAUUGACGAAUCUUGACUUGUGCUUGAACGAACUAGUAGCUGUUUUUGAGGGUUUGAAAUACUCAGCUUUGCGGUUGCAUCUUGGUUGGGAUGCUUUUGAUUGUAGAGUACUCCCAAUGAUUAUUUCAAUCCUUUAUCCGAUUAUGUUGAUGAUGAUAAAAUAGUGUGGCAUCCGAGUCAACACGAAAAGUAUAUCGUUCAGUCUGCAUAUAAAUUAUGCAUGACAACAAUGUUGGAUACUUUAGAGCUGCGGGAGGAACGGAAUCUGAAGGUUACCCCAAAAGUUAAGAACUUUGUGUGAAGAGUCGUUAGAAUAGAAAUGUGUUAGCGAGAUGAGUUUGCCAUUUUGUCUACCAUAAUCAAGUUGGAAUAGAAAUGUGUUAGCAAGAUAAA